UCCACAUGAAUAGAAAAACUGCACAAGUCAUAAGAGAAGGCAAAAAUAACAUCCUUAAGAAUAUGUUACAAAUAUGUUUCCUCUUGUAGUUAGAUGUAGAUACCUUCCAACUGGACAAAAUGUAGAGACUUUCUCUUCGACGUCUGUAUGUCAAUAUCCAAUUUCGCACUGUCAUUGUACACUUCUCUUCGUCUUUUAUUUUUCUUAGACACCGAAUCCAUUUUUAUACCUAUACUCAAAAC
rnacentral:lncRNA from 1 species